rnacentral:rRNA from 1 species
AUGACGUCAAGUCAUCAUGGCCCUUAUGGGCUGGGCUACACACGUGCUACAAUGGCCGGUACAGAGGGUUGCCAACCCGCGAGGGGGAGCCAAUCUCAGAAAACCGGUCGUAGUCCGGAUCGCAGUCUGCAACUCGACUGCGUGAAGUCGGAAUCGCUAGUAAUCGCGAAUCAGCAUGUCGCGGUGAAUACGUUCCCGGGCCUU